GACCGGGAUUUAGUGUCACUUGUACUGGAACGUUCAGUUCUCAUCGCAAGGCGACAGAAUGAUGCCGAUACAAUGUAUCUAGGAUUACUGAGCAGCACGGUGCAUUGGGAAGCUAGGAUGAAGCAGUCAUGGAGGUGGCUGCGGAGAUUUGCUCUUGAAAUCCUUCGGAUGACAUUGCAAUUGACUAAAUCCGGCAAAAUAGUCCAGACCGUGCUGGCGUCAUGAACACAGGGGCCAAACCGCAAAAGCACAUUAUACCAAUUACCAUCAAGGGCACCUCAACCAACAUCUGGCUGGUGUUCCCUGCAACAGAGAGUGUCCCGGAGGAUUCUGUGCUGUCUUCCCAUCCACUGCACUGCCGGUCCCAAGGGACAACUAAACUGUGAGUACUACUAUCCUCGGCACCUUAUCACUAGUACGCUAACACUCUCAUCCUCCAUAGGGAGCCCCGGCAUGCUGCAUGAAAUUUGGCGUCACUACGAACAGGAUAUAAAAUCCUCUGCGCCUUAUGCGAACUAUAUAAAGAGCAGGAUAAUUAAAAACACCUCUGUGCCUUUACUGUACACCGUGUAUUGACCAUAUCCAUUGCCUAGUUGAGAGACUUUAUAUGUGCUGAAAUACAAACAUCUUUAUUAAGAGGCAGAAUUGCUUAAAUCACGUGAAAGUUGCAGGGUGAUACUGUGGAAGACCCCUACUGUCGAUUGCAUCGUUAAAAAUGGGAAAAUUGCAUACUUUUGUGUCAGUACAACUGAUUGCUGUCAGUGAAAGGACUUUUCUAUGCAUCUAAAAUGGCCGCCUGAAGCAUCUUUAUUAAUUUGUUCUGCGUCAUCACUGUGGAAGAAGUGGUGACACCCCCAUCUAGAAGCGGGAAAAUUGAACGCCGCCCCUUGAAAGUGCGGGAAAAUAAUUCUGACUGCACCACAAGAUGCCUAACAUGGAUUACAAUGUCUGCACCUCCCCCCUUAUGCAAGUGAACCUAGGGGGCGGGCCAGAGAAAAGGCAGAGUUUGUGUGACGAUUGGACAUUCUUACUUGAUUGUAAUACUGCAGAUGCUAUUGUACCAGACCCACUGCAAAGAUAGAGACUGGAGAGGCUGACAUAUACCAGACACAGGAUCCGCCCCCAAGCAGAAAUCCUUGGAGACUUGGAGGCUUUCGCAUUCUACGGGGUCUCGACCCGAGGUCCUGUCGCCAAGAAUCUCCCCUGGUGGCUGGUGCCUGUCAUUGUAGUUCCUGAAGAAGAGGACACUUAUUUGUAAGUAGGCCAAACAAAAACAAAAUAUAUAUUUCUGCCGCACGUAGAACUUGUGCUUGUUGCACCCCCUAGGGGCAGUUACUCAAGUCACUACCAAAGACCAUGGCGUUUUUCAUAGCAACCUUACUCAGGAUUACCUGCUGGACUUGCAGCAGAGCAAAGCCAUAAAAAUGUCCCUUUUGUGCAUUUUUUGUUUUUGCUCCAUUAUGCAACAUUUUAAACUAUGUACCCAGAAGGACAUUUUCUGUGAUUGUUUUAUGCUAUAUUCAUGUUUACAACACCAAAACUUUUUGCACUUUAACCCUUCUUACUACAAAUGCUUUACCUCAAUGUUGAGUUGGACUUUGCACACUAUGGACUUUUGCUAUGGACUGCAUUACUUGUUUUUAAACCUACGCCCAGUUUUGUCACCGUCAAGCAAAGAAAAGAGAACAACGCCCAUUUUUCCCUUUGCUCCAAAGUAUCUAACAUGUGAUAUUUUGUUAAUGUGUAUUUAUAUGCCACCUCUUUUAUGCACUUGAAUGUACUGGAUUAGCUUCAAAAAUAAUAUAUAAUGUAAUACUAAACUUUGAAGUAUAUAUGGGUGUGGCACAUGUUUUGGCGUUUUCCAGGUGAUGGCAAGGAGAUCCACAGCAACUAGCAAACCUAAAAAAUCAAGGCCGACUUUAUUUAAAGCAGUGGGUAAUGUAGUGUCCCACUCCUGUGUGUAUGGUCCACUCCAAAUUGUUGUGUAAUAUGAUGUUAUAUUAUACUAUUUCUUUGUC